rnacentral:rRNA from 1 species
AGUUUGAUCCUGGCUCAGGAUGAACGCUGGCGGCGUGCCUAACACAUGCAAGUCGAACGAAGGUAUUGGAACUCUUCGGAGGGAAGGUACCUUAGUGGCGGACGGGUGAGUAACGCGUGGAUAACCUGCCUCAUACAGGGGGAUAACAGUUAGAAAUGACUGCUAAUACCGCAUAAGCGCACACUAUCGCAUGAUAGAGUGUGAAAAGCCGAGACGGUAUGAGAUGGAUCCGCGUCUGAUUAGCUGGUUGGCGGGGUAACGGCCCACCAAGGCGACGAUCAGUAGCCGACCUGAGAGGGUGACCGGCCACAUUGGGACUGAGACACGGCCCAAACUCCUACGGGAGGCAGCAGUGGGGGAUAUUGCACAAUGGGGGAAACCCUGAUGCAGCGACGCCGCGUGAGUGAAGAAGUAUUUCGGUAUGUAAAGCUCUAUCAGCAGGGAAGAAGAUGACGGUACCUGCAGAAGAAGCCCCGGCUAACUACGUGCC